UUCUCAUCUAGCAUUCUAAAUCUUAAUUCUCUUUGCUUGUCAUAUUUCUUUUAUUUCAUUGAGAGUUUGGAUGAAUUGCUUGAUGAGUAAGGAUGUCCAAGAUUUUAAGUGUGGGGGAAGGAACAUCACUGAAUUUGAAAUGGCAGAAAUGGAUCAAGAUUUGGAAAAUGUUUGAGCAAGGGCUGAUUUUAGGAGGUGUUUAUGGUGCAAAAUUCUGAAAAUUCAUUUGUGAAAGAAUGACUCUAAUGUUCUAUGCUAAAUGUUUCCAUUUCUUGAGUUUUAUCAUGUCAAGAACACGUUACACUUGCUUCGGAUUUAGAGAAUUGAUAAUAUGUUGAUACAUUUUAAGCUAUAGGAGACAUUUGUUGGAAGAAAUUGCUGAUGUGCUAUAUGUGGCAGAAAGAUGUGAAAUGAAGCUGAAAUCUGCAGAAAUUUGGUUGCUGAACAUUGUUUGUUCUGGACAGUUUAGAGGUUCUGAAAUCUGAUGUUGCUGGAAGAGGUUUGUGCUAAAUAAGAAUCUUUGUUUUGAAAGGUAAUGGAAGUUGAAAUCAGUGAGCUAUUUUGGAACAUAAACAGGAAUAGAAUUGAGAGGAAUUCAGUACUUGCUAUGUGCCAAUAUUUAAAAGUUGAUGAGGAUCAGUGAUACAUUCUGGAACAAGAGCAGCAUGAGAGAAUUCAGUUCAGAAUGCUUGAAAGAUUUAGUGAGGAAACUUGGCUAAUGGGGACUUAUCUCAAGACUAAGGAAAUGGAAGUUGCUGUUGGCAGUAAAUUGGAAGACAAAUGGUAAUCUCGAAUCAAAUUACUGAAAGAUACAGUGGGUUAUAAGACAAGAAAUGUGUAGGAAGCUGUUUGAAAAUGCAAGAAAAAAUGUGCCAAGAUCUUGUUUCAGGAAUGUGAAUGGUUGUAAUAAGGGACAAGUGCAUUUUUCAAGCUGUUUAGGAGAGCUGGAAAUUCUGUAAACGCAGAUGGAAUGUGGCAAGAUCUUGUUUCUGGAUAGGUUUUAGAGAAAUCAGUAAGUUUCAAGGAAUCUACAGAAAUGGUAGAAUCAGUAGUUCAAAAUUUUCAGAAAUGAAGCAAGGCUGGAAAACAGAAUUCAAUUUGGGCUGGAAGUUGUGUAAUUUUCAUAACCUGAUUAGACAUUACAGACCUUGAUAGUGGAAUGUAAAAUAACAACAGAAUACAGAAUUCAACAACACAUUCUGAAAUUGAAUCAGCAGGAGACAGAAAUAACAAUGUGCCAAGUCUGAUGCAAAUUUCUGUUAAGGAGAUCAGCAAAGAAUUUCUGUUAACAAUGGGGAGAAAUUUUCAAUCUAUUUUCUGAUCCGGAACAAGGUGCAUUCAAUUUUUAUUAAUACAGUGCUAAAAGGUGUUUAUUUCCAAAUUUAACUCUUCAUGAAUCCGGCCAAGUAUUCAAGAGUUGUUAAAUUUAUGAAACUAAAACUGAAAAAAGCUGACAGAAGAUGGGAACUGCUCACUGUACAGUUCUGGUCUGUUGGAAUAAAAGGAAGAAGAGUGAUACUGGAAUAUGUUACAAGGGUCUGAGAUGCUAAAUUUACUACAGUAGACUACUGUAGGUGUUCAAUGAAGCUUGAUUUGGUUUUCUAUCAACGUAAUAGAGAUACACAAAUUCAGUUAAGAGAUACUGAGUACUAGUUCAAUAGCAAGAGAAGAAAAGGAGGUUGAAACUGAUUUUUGGACUAAAGAAGAUUCCUUAAAACUGAUUCUAAAAUUUAUUCUUCUUGAUAAGGCAACAUUUACAAAGUCUACAUUGAAUUCUGGAAGAUUAUGGAAGUGCAGAUGGAAGAGCACUUAAGUCAUUCUGAUCAAGUAUUCUUUAAAUUCUACAAGCAGUACAGUGCUGAUUAAAUUUCUUUUAUAAGCUGGAUUCUGAAACUUAAGCAUCAAAACAGAAUGCAUCAAAUCAAAUUCAAUUCUGUUAGUUUCAUUCAAUCAGAAUCUGUUCUUAAAUUCAUGCAUUUCAUUCUAGUUGAGGAUUUUGAAGUGGAGAUUCAGAACUAUGCUAUGAAAAAGAAAAGAAACCAAUAGAAUGAUUGUUUAUAAAAAUAAACUGUUUGGUGCCAAUUAUUUGUGCUAAUUCUAAUCAGUAGCAAUCUGAAUUUGAACUUUUAACAGUCCAGAGCCAAAUGAUACCUUCAUCUUAGCUGGAUUUUAUUUGAUUUAAGAUAAAGGCACUUCAGAAUCUCAAUGCUGAAACUUAGACUUUAAUACUGAAAAUUCUAGUUAUGAAGCUUGAAACUGCAGAAAUACAUUAAAAUUUCUGGAACCGAUCUAUGGAUAAAUUUGUUGUGCUGUUGUAAGUUGAGCUAUGGACCUAAUCAAUGAACUAUAGGAGUUCCUCAAGCUUGCAUUCAAAUAUGAAUUCAGAGAAUAUGUUUGAACCCGACAAAAUUCUGAAAAUGCAGAAUUUGUUUGAUACACUGGAAAAAGAUAAAUUCUGUUGCUAAAUUUUCUAGGAACUGACCUCAAGCUUUUAUCAUACUAUUGCCAAAUGAGAAUCCUUGUUGAGCUGAGCUGUUCAUGAUCCAAGCCAAAUUACGAUUUCUGAACUAAGAAAAGAAAAAUAAUCAACAUUUAGCUAUAUAUUCUAGAAUUCAUUUGUUGUGAUUGAUGUUUCAUAUGCCUUAUUUCUAAGGUGGCAUGAUUGCAACUUUUAGGAUGCUCAGACAACAAGUGUAAGAGUUUUGCAGGAAGUUGCUGUGCAUUUAGCUGUGCUACAUUGUGUAAGAGUUUUGCAAUUGAACGGAAUGAGAUUUUGCAGAAACUAAUUUACAAUUGUGAAAAUUCUAAAAUUGAAGAAGACCAAAAACAGAGUAAGGAAAAGAGACCAAAAACAGAAUAUGCAGAGUGUUCUGAAAUCUGGAAUUGGAACUAAAUCAAGUUGUUGGAAGCUGUUGAAGUUGCAGCAGUGGAUUUUUUUUUUUUCUUUUCAGCAGCAAGAAGUCUGUAAAAUGAGUGUCAGCGCAGUUUGUACAACUGAAUAUCAUUGCAAAUCAAGCAAGAAAUGGUGAUUUCUUUAUCUAAGCAAAUUGUUGCAAGUGUAUGGAGUUUGAUUCGAUACAUUCACUAAUAAGAAAGGUAUCAAUAGCUGCUUCUGAAAAUAAUCAGUACUGGCACAGCAGGGGUGGAUAGCAAUGAUAGAAAUUCAGUUCUUAAUAUCAUUUGUAUGAUUGAACUACACAUUGCUACUGCAUGCAAUCAGAAGCUGAAAAUCUGAUUCUGAUUUUGAAACUUUAUUCAUAAAGGGCUUGAGGAAUGAGUUCAAACCAUGAAUUCCUGAAAAUCUAGAAUUAUGAUGAUGUUUUGAAUAUGGAUAUUUAAAUCUCUGAACUCUCAGGCUGGAAUUGGAAGAGUAGAGGUAUGAAAGAAAUAAGAAUUUGAAAGAAUUUGUUGGGCACAAUCUGUGUUAUCAUGUCAGACUAACAACAUUGUUUUUGUGUCAUAUGCGAAUCUUUAUUUUUGAGAUGUAUCUCGAAAUUAGAAGGACAUAGAAGUAUAGUUGUCAUCAGUAAGCUAUUGUGGACAUAAAGAGGAAAUAUGGAGCAUAAGCAGGAAACAGAAUUGACAAAAAAUCAGAAAAUUCUGCAACUUGGUAUCUGAAAUCUGUUUGAAGCAAAUGUUCAUGUUACUUCUGCUUAGCAUUUGUUCUGCUCAGUAUUACCUACUGGAAUAGAUUUCUGAAACUGAAAGCUAGAUGCAGGGAUAGAAAUUAACAAAGUGCAUAAUUGAAUUUUAGAUAGUAUCAAAACUGUUUAAGUCCAGCAACUUUCUUGAAUCCAGAAUUCUGUAACCUGAAGUAUAUCAGUGAGGUUUGGAAACUGAAGGUACAGAAAUGAAAUUUAUUUACACUGGAACCUGAGGUAUUUCAAUCCAGUGAGUUCCUGCUUAUUGAAAUCUGAUUUCAGAAAUUUAUGAAAUGCUAUAAUGUCAUGGUGUAAACCUUUGAAACCAGUUGAUGAUCAGAAACAAGGAGAAUACAAUUUCAUAUUAGUGCAGUGCUGAAUGAUGUUGUUUCCAAGCUCAAAUCUUCAUGUCUAGUUAGGAACAGUGGCUUAAAAAGUGUAUCAAGCAAGUGGUUAGAAGAGUGCUAUAAUAUGCUUAAUUGUCCGAGACGACCAAUGGUUUAAGUGUGGGGGAGGGUGUUGGAUAUAUGAUGCGAGAUAGGGUGUUGGAUAUAUGAUGCGAGAUUAGUUUCAAAAUGCUGAAAUUGAAUGAAAUUGAAGUG